AGUUUCUGUAGAAAAUGUUUCCUGACAGCAAUGAGAGAAAGUGGAAUACACUGUCCCUUGUGUCGUGGAAAUGUGACUAGAAGAGAGAGAGCAUGUCCUGAACGGGCCUUAGACCUUGAAGAUAUCAUGAGAAAGUUUUCUGGUAGCUGCAGAUGCUGUGCAAAACAGAUUAAAUUCUAUCGCAUGAGACAUCAUUACAAAUCUUGUAAGAAGUAUCAGGAUGAAUAUGGCGUUUCUUCUAUCAUUCCAAACUUUCAGAUCUCUCAAGAUUCGGUAGGGAACAGUAAUAGAAGUGAAACAUCCACAUCUGAUAACACAGAAAGUUACCAAGAGAAUACAAGUUCUGGGCAUCCCACCUUUAAGUGUCCCCUGUGUCAAGAAUCAAAUUUUACCAGACAGCGUUUACUGGAUCACUGUAACAGUAAUCACCUAUUUCAGAUAGUUCCUGUGACAUGUCCUAUUUGUGUGUCUCUUCCUUGGGGAGAUCCUAGCCAGAUUACUAGAAAUUUUGUCAUCUAAAUCAAAGACAUCGGUUUGAUUAUGGAGAAUUCGUGAAUCUUCAACUAGAUGAGGAAACCCAGUAUCAAACUGCUGUUGAAGAAUCUUUUCAAGUAAACAUCUGAAGGCUGUUAUACAUCUCCACAUCUUUGUACCUGCAAGUGCCAUCUUUAAGGGGAAAACUACAUGAAGUCACUGUUUCAAUAACUUGAUGUGUAUAUUAAUAAAAGUAAUUCAGUCUAU